rnacentral:rRNA from 1 species
GAUGAACGCUAGCUACAGGCUUAACACAUGCAAGUCGAGGGACCGGCGCACGUGAGAGAAAUACGUAUCCAACCUUCCCUUUAAUCGGUGAUUGCUUUUCGAAAGAAAGAUUACUACCCGAUAGAAAGGUCGGGGAUGCGUUCCAUUAGGCUGUUGGUGAGGUAACCGCCAACCAAGCCAUCGCUGGAUAGGGGUUCUGAGAGGAAGGUCCAUCACAUUGGAACUGCGCCACGGUCCACACUGCUACGGGAGGCAGCAGUGAGGAAUAUUGGUGAAUGGGCGCUAGCCUGACCCGGCCAAGUAGCGUGAAGGAUGAAGGCGUAUGGGUCAUAGACUUCUUUUAUAUAAGAAUAGGUAUUAUAUGAAUAAGGACCGGCUAACUCCGUGCCAGCAGCCGCGGUAAUUC